UGGGGAAUCUUGCGCAAUGGGCGAAAGCCUGACGCAGCAACGCCGCGUGGGGGAUGACGGCCUUCGGGUUGUAAACCCCUUUCAGCAGGGACGAAUCUGACGGUACCUGCAGAAGAAGCUCCGGCCAACUACGUGCCAGCAGCCGCGGUAACACGUAGGGAGCGAGCGUUGUCCGGAAUUAUUGGGCGUAAAGGGCGCGUAGGCGGCUGGGCAAGUCGGAUGUGAAAGCUCCAGGCUCAACCUGGAGACUGCACCCGAGACUGCUCUGGCUAGAGUCCGGUAGGGGACCACGGAAUUCCUGGUGUAGCGGUGAAAUGCGCAGAUAUCAGGAGGAACACCGAUGGCGAAGGCAGUGGUCUGGGCCGGCACUGACGCUGAUGCGCGAAAGCGUGGGUAGCGAACAGG
rnacentral:rRNA from 1 species